AUGAAGACCAUAUGUAAAUUAUGCCAUUUGAACAGAUCUGAACAGCUAGGGGGAGAGGGGAAGAGGAGGAGGGAAGCUCACGGGGGCGGUGGUGUGGACGGGGCGACGAGGUGGGGCGACGAGGUCCGGGUGGUGGUGGAUGGUAACAAUGGUGCUGACCGAUUUGAAGAGAAGUUUGGCGACCUACGCACAACAGUAGAACAAGAUCAGAAGGAAACUGAAAAUGAAGACGGUAACAAUGAUGCAAAUCCUUCUGAGACUGAGUCCUUUUUGAAGAACGGAGACAAAUACAAGGAGAAAGAACCCACUACACUGGAUUUAUUCAAAGAGUGCCACUAUAGCAGCAAAAAGAAAGGCUACACCGAUGUUGUGCAAGCUGCAAUUGAUGAAAUGGAAGAUAAAGCCACUCAACCUACAGAAGAUGGUGAACAAUCCAACUCUGCAACCAAGGCUGUGGCUGAAGUUCUUACUAAGCACACUAAGAAGCCAAUGUUUCUUAAGCAUGUGGGGGUCCAGCACGUGCAUGAGAGAUCCAGUCGUAGCGACCGUGAGGCAGAACAGGAAGCGCAGAAGAGGGGAAAUGCUGAGCUUCGGGCCCUUGUUGAAACCUUGAACAAUAAGUUACAGGAAUCAGAAGAAGCAAGGAUAAGGCAAGAAGAAGAAAGGACCAAGCAAGAAGAGGAGAACAGGAAAAAGCAAGCUGAGAUGGAAGCUAAAUUAGACUUUUUACUAAAUCAGAUUCAUCCAAGAUAA
rnacentral:rRNA from 1 species